UUUGGUUAGGAUUUGAUUUAGGGUUAGGAUUUGAUUAGAAUUUGGUUAGGAUUUGAUUUAAGAUUCGGAUUUGAUUUAGGGUUUAGGAUUUGGUCAGGGUUUGAUUUAGGAUUAGGAUUUGAUUAGGAUUAGAGUUUGAAUAGGGUUUGAUUUAGGAUUAGGAUUCAAUUAUAUUUUGGUUAGAAUUUGAUUUAGGAUUAGAGUUUGAUUUAAGGUUUAAGAUUUGGUUAGGAUUUGAUUUAGGAUUAGGAUUUGGUUUAGAAUUUAGGAUUUGGUUAGGAUUUGAUUUAAGAUUUAGGAUUUGAUUUAGGAUUUAGAAUUUGGUUUAGGAUUUAAGAUUUGGUUAGGAUUUGAUCAUGAUUUGAUUUAGGAUUUAGGAUUUUAUUUGAGUUUAUUUAAGAUUUAAGAUUUAGUUAGUUUUUGGCCUAAAGUUUGAAUGAAGUCCAAUAAGAUUUCAAUUAAGAUUAAAUUUAGAUUGAAUUGAGAUAUAUUUAAGAUAUGUUUGUAAUCAUUCUAAUAUUUUUUUAAGAUUUCUUAUUAUUUCUUUGAAAUUCCUU
rnacentral:lncRNA from 1 species